rnacentral:rRNA from 1 species
UGAGCAAUCUGCCCUUCUCAUCGGAAUAAGCGUUGGAAACGACGUCUAAUGCCGAAUACGACCUCCUUUCGCAUGAUCGGAGGUGGAAAGCUCCGGCGGAGAAGGAUGAGCUCGCGGCCUAUCAGCUAGUUGGUGUGGGUAAUGGCCCACCAAGGCGACGACGGGUAGCCGGCCUGAGAGGGCGUCCGGCCACACUGGGACUGAGACACGGCCCAGACUCCGUACGGGAGCA